rnacentral:rRNA from 2 species
GCAUAUCAAUAAGCGGAGGAAAAGAAAAUAACAAUGAUUCCCCUAGUAACUGCGAGUGAAGAGGGACAAGCUCAAAUUUUAAAUCUAUCGGGUUUUACCUGAUCGAGUUGUAAUUUGAAGAUGGCGUUUUCUGUGUUUCUGAUCAGUCCAAGUCCUUUGGGAUAAGGCAUCAUGGAGGGUGAGAAUCCCGUUCGGUUGAUCAGAUUCGCUUUACGAUACGUUAUCAAAGAGUCAAGUUGUUUGGGAUUGCAGCUUAAAAUGGGAGGUAAAUUUCUCCUAAGGCUAAAUAACGGCGAGAGACCGAUAGCGAACAAGUACCGUGAGGGAAAGAUGAAAAGAACUUUGAAAAGAGAGUUAAACAGUACGUGAAAUUGUUGAAAGGGAAACGAUUGAAGCCAGUCGUACCUUCGGGUAAUCAGCCUUUUGGGUGUGAUUUUGUGGAGCGUGAAGAGUUAAACGCCUUCAUGCUUGCAUAUUCGUGCACUUUGGGUGUACUUGCCCGUAUGGUUGGUUAACAUCAAUUUUGGUGGUCAUAAAAUGACUGGAGGAAUGUAGCUUCGAUCUCGUAUUGAAGUAUUAUAGCCUUCGGUAGAUGUGAUGAUCGAGAUUGAGGAUUGCAACGGAUACCCUUCGGGGCUACCUGUCUGAUCUCUGAUCGUUGCUCUGGUACCGAAAGCUUGCUUACGGUUAUCAAAGUCGAUGGUCAAUAGGUUAGAACGGGUUAAAUUCGUUAAGGAUGUUGACGUAAUGGCUUUAAACGAC